rfam:Lucilia cuprina strain LS Scaffold13, whole genome shotgun sequence.
UUUCUGGCAUGAUCGAAGUCCUUGUUUGAUGAUUAUUAUUAAACCACAUUGGCAAGGAUCAAAAGCAGGCCUAAAGCAAUUUUUGCAACACGGUCAUGGCUUUAUCUUUUAAAUGAUACUGUCAUAACAUUUUAGUUCAAUUACAUUU